rnacentral:lncRNA from 1 species
CAUCCAGAUGUACAUGUCAUUUAUUUUUCAACUACAAAGCAAGCAGAUCCUUUCGUACCACUUGAAAGUGGUAGAUCAGAAGAAAUUGUCAGCCUGUCCCUCAUGAAUACCUUAACCGUUUUUUUUGUUUAUUCGCCUUGCCUGAUGAAAGGCUUAUUACAGGAUGAGGAAGCCUGACAAGAAGGUAAAAUGGCGGAUUCACCUUCUAGUUAAUUUACAAAAGAUUUUGAUCAGCAUUGCAUAUGAUUAUAGCUAUGAUACCUUAUAUAAUCUUGUACUCCCAUAUUGCUUUUGUAGCUUGAAGCUUACAUAUUCAUGCAUGUGGUAUAUUUUUAGUUAUGCAUGUAAAAUUGGGAAGGAUUUUAGAUUUGAUAUGUUGAUAUUUUAUAUUUCAUUCUCAUAAGAAUCUUUUCACUAGGCUUUGAAAUUAAUUAUUUGCCUGUUUACUAGAUAAUCUUCUAUUUGGUCUGUUUUGCUUUUUUAUUGUUUUUCCCCCAAACUAAGAACUUUUCAAAGGACACAAUUUGAGAGUAAGCGGGGACUGAUUUAGAAUAUGUGCAAAGGAAAAGAACAGAAGUACCAAAAGGUUUUUGUUUAUUUUAUUCUCUUUAUUUUUGGACAAAAAUUAGCCUUUUUUUUCCACUUGAAUAGGUGCAGA